AGUGAACGCUGGCGGCAGGCCUAACACAUGCAAGUCGAACGGCAGCACAGUAAGAGCUUGCUCUUACGGGUGGCGAGUGGCGGACGGGUGAGGAAUACAUCGGAAUCUACUUUUUCGUGGGGGAUAACGUAGGGAAACUUACGCUAAUACCGCAUAUGACCCACGGGUGAAAGCAGGGGAUCUUUGGACCUUGCGCGAUUGAAUGAGCCGAUGUCGGAUUAGCUAGUUGGCGGGGUAAAGGCCCACCAAGGCGACGAUCCGUAGCUGGUCUGAGAGGAUGAUCAGCCACACUGGAACUGAGACACGGUCCAGACUCCUACGGGAGGCAGCAGUGGGGAAUAUUGGACAAUGGGCGCAAGCCUGAUCCAGCCAUACCGCGUGAGUGAUGAAGGCCUUCGGGUUGUAAAGCCCUUUUGUUGGGAAAGAAAAGCAGCAGGUUAAUACCCCGCUGUUCUGACGGUACCCAAAGAAUAAGCACCGGCUAACUUCGUG
rnacentral:rRNA from 1 species